rnacentral:lncRNA from 1 species
AUGGAAAAACACCUGCUUCUCAUUUUAAUUCUGAUUUCGGGUGUGAUGACUGCAGACCAGAUUAGUCCAAAUAAAGAUGCUGUUGUCAUAAAGGAAGAUGAGACUGUGACCCUCAGCUGCUCAUAUGACACAAGCAGCAGUUAUGUUAGACUUUAUUGGUACAGACAGUAUCCUAAUGAAGAGCUUCAAUAUUUAAUAUAUACUUCACAAUCAAGUAGUGAAAGUAGUGGAAGGUUUCAUUUGACUACAUCACAAGCAUCCACUGAACUCACUAUUACUGGUGUAAUUCUGUCAGAUUCAGCUCUCUAUUACUGUGCUCUAAGAGCUGGAGCACAGUGGUACAAAGUCUACGUGAAGCCGUACAAAAACUCUAAGUAAUUUUUCACUUUGAUGGCAAGCAACAUCAAACCCACAAUCUAGAAUUCACACAAUAUAAUUAAACUUGUGGAAACACCUGUGUGUGGUUACUGAAAUGGUAAUAAAAGGAAACAAAAUAUAGUAGUAUAUAAUACGUCCCUAUUUCCUUACAGUACAUCACAACUCUCCUAAAGAGUAAGUAGCCAUGUAAUAAGCGCCACUUCACAUUGGGAUGCUUAUUCUGUGGUAAUCAACUGGAUGUACAUUAUCGUGAAAAAUCUGAAACUACAAAAAGAAACAGACUACGCAGUAAGAAGAAAACACUUCUAGAAAAUUCUGUUAAAACAUUCUCCCUUUUUAACUUACAGCAACAAUGGCAAAAUGGGUGAUUAUUACUCUUUUUUUCACAGUUCACGAGUUUGGUAAGAACAUUAUUUCAUCAUUUCUAUCUGUGUGAGAUAUUAAGUCUAUUUUCCAGUGUUUAUUUUCCAGUUCCAGUUUUGCUGGGGACAAGACAAAGUUGAACAACCUUCAAGAGAAAUGACUCCAAAUGAAGCAGCUCAAAUUACUCUACUGUGCAAUUACUCUACCAGCAGUUAUAAUGCAUAUCCUCACUGGUACAAACAACUACAAAACAUUCAUUCUGAGCGAAUUUACAAUUGGAAAAGGAACCAUGGUUCCCUGAGAAGGGGAAUGAGAUGUUUGGGGAAUGCCUCUGGCAUGACAGGUGUCUGAACCAUGAGUCUAAACACAACAAUGAACUUGAUAUUGGCGGACGGCAGCCUAUGAUGUCACAACUAGUGCAGCUAAGAGUAACUUGUAAAAAACGUUAUCCACUUCUUGUCUGAAGGAGAUGUCCAGGAAUUCCUGAAGCAUGGCUAAGGGAUGCAAUGUCUCGUUCCCCUUCUCAGGGAACCAUGGUUACAUGCAUAAGCUGAGACGUUCCCUUUCGAAUGGGGACAAUGUCAAGUUCAUUGUCAUGUUUAGACUCAUGCUUCAGUCACCGGUCAUGCCCGAGGCAUUACCCAUAGCACCAUGUAGGGGACGCAGCGUGGAGUUCCCAUUCGAAAGGGAACCAAUUUUUCCAUCACAAAUUCAGUAAAGAUUAUAUGAAAAAGUUUUUUUUAUAUAUGAAAAAGUGUUUUUUUUUAAACUACAUUAAAUGCAGUUAAUAUUUCCCACUGAUAAGUUACUGAUAAAGUAUUAAUCAUUUUGGAUAAUUCUGAACUUAUAUUUUAACCUACUGACCACUUGACUCAACAGUAUGUUACAUUAUGUUAAUCCUAAUACAUACAAUUAUAAAGGACGUUUUAAACAUAUUCGUGUCACUUUUGGUGUCUGUUAUUAGUUGUACAGCUGUGCCAACUGUUUUAGUACCACAAAAAAUAAACGGCAAACCUA